rnacentral:piRNA from 1 species
UCUCUCUUUCGAAGAACUUUGGAACCUCCU